AAGCCGAGCUGCCACAAUGUUGACAGCUUGGUGCCGCAGCAUGUCCUGCUGCAUCACAGUCAAUGGCCUUACAUAAUGCAUCUUUGGUAGAAGGGGCCGUGCGUAUAGAAACAUUAUGUUUGCCAUUGAUGUGUAUGAAAAUCGUAUUGCCAGAUGUAAUUCGCCCAUCUUCUUGACACCAGAAGGGUGGAGCACUAGUAGUGGAUAAGAGUGUGUAUAAACGCAGCCACUUUCUAGAGUGGAGAGUCGUAUCCGAACCUUACCAAUUUUUAUGUCCCUGUUACCAUUUGAACCACCAAUCUGGCUGUUAUCAAAAACUCCCACAGUAAGAACUGUUGCAGGAUCGUACACCUCCCAAGUGUAUUGCUCAUUGUAUUUUGGGCUAAGGCUGUUGAUAAUGGUUCGUGUCCUAACCCAUUUGUGACCAUACUUCGCUACGCAAUAUGUAUCUGAUGUACCUUUUCCAUCCCUUGUUUUCAUCGGGUGAAGCCCAUCAGCAUUUAGAACACCAAGCUCUAACACACCUAUUGAUGGCUUCCAAAGCUGCUUUGCUGUUGGUCGAAGAUCACUACUGUAGUGAGUUGACUCAUC
rnacentral:misc_RNA from 1 species